GAUGAACGCUGGCGGCGUGCCUAAUACAUGCAAGUCGAGCGAACGGACGAGAAGCUUGCUUCUCUGAUGUUAGCGGCGGACGGGUGAGUAACACGUGGAUAACCUACCUAUAAGACUGGGAUAACUUCGGGAAACCGGAGCUAAUACCGGAUAAUAUUUUGAACCGCAUGGUUCAAAAGUGAAAGACGGUCUUGCUGUCACUUAUAGAUGGAUCCGCGCUGGAUUAGCUAGUUGGUAAGGUAACGGCUUACCAAGGCAACGAUGCAUAGCCGACCUGAGAGGGUGAUCGGCCACACUGGAACUGAGACACGGUCCAGACUCCUACGGGAGGCAGCAGUAGGGAAUCUUCCGCAAUGGGCGAAAGCCUGACGGAGCAACGCCGCGUGAGUGAUGAAGGUCUUCGGAUCGUAAAACUCUGUUAUUAGGGAAGAACAGAUGUGGAAUAAACCGUGCACGUCUUGACGGUACCUAAUCAGAAAGCCACGGCUAACUACGUG
rnacentral:rRNA from 1 species